GACGAACGCUGGCGGCGUGCUUAACACAUGCAAGUCGAACGGAAAGGCCCUUCGGGGUACUCGAGUGGCGAACGGGUGAGUAACACGUGGGUGAUCUGCCCUGCACUUUGGGACAAGCCUGGGAAACUGGGUCUAAUACCGAAUAUGAUCAUCGGCUUCAUGGUCGGUGGUGGAAAGCUUUUGCGGUGUGGGAUGGGCCCGCGGCCUAUCAGCUUGUUGGUGGGGUAAUGGCCUACCAAGGCGACGACGGGUAGCCGGCCUGAGAGGGUGACCGGCAACACUGGGACUGAGAUACGGCCCAGACUCCUACGGGAGGCAGCAGUGGGGAAUAUUGCACAAUGGGCGCAAGCCUGAUGCAGCGACGCCGCGUGAGGGAUGACGGCCUUCGGGUUGUAAACCUCUUUCAGCAGGGACGAAGCGCAAGUGACGGUACCUGUAGAAGAAGGACCGGCCAACUACGUGCCAGCCGCCGCGGUAAUAC
rnacentral:rRNA from 1 species